rnacentral:tRNA from 1 species
ACCUGGCUGGCUCAGUCGGUAGAGCAUGCGACUCUUGAUCUCAGGGUUGUAGGUUCAAGCCCUACAUUGGGUG